rnacentral:rRNA from 1 species
AUUGAACGCUGGCGGCAUGCCUUACACAUGCAAGUCGAACGGCAGCACGGGUGCUUGCACCUGGUGGCGAGUGGCGCACGGGUGAGUAAUACAUCGGAACAUGUCCUGUAGUGGGGGAUAGCCCGGCGAAAGCCGGAUUAAUACCGCAUACGAUCUACGGAUGACAGCGGGGGACCUUCGGGCCUCGCGCUAUAGGGUUGGCCGAUGGCUGAUUAGCUAGUUGGUGGGGUAAAGGCCUACCAAGGCGACGAUCAGUAGCUGGUCUGAGAGGACGACCAGCCACACUGGGACUGAGACACGGCCCAGACUCCUACGGGAGGCAGCAGUGGGGAAUUUUGGACAAUGGGCGAAAGCCUGAUCCAGCAAUGCCGCGUGUGUGAAGAAGGCCUUCGGGUUGUAAAGCACUUUUGUCCGGAAAGAAAUCCUUGGCUCUAAUACAGUCGGGGGAUGACGGUACCGGAAGAAUAAGCACCGGCUAACUACGUG